AAGCUUGGUGAAAUCUUUUGAAACUAGCCUGAUAUCAUUCGUAAUGAUGGGCUCGCGUGUUCGAGUCACGCAAGCGGCACCA
rnacentral:tRNA from 1 species